CUUAAAGAGAGUGACUGACCCAGGCUCAGAUCUGAAAAUGCAGGGACCACAGGGUACAAGAGUCCACCCCUUGGCAACUGCACCUGGGGGCCUGAGCCACACACCUGUCAGCUCCUGUUCAGGGCCAGGGCUUCUUAAGGAGAUUUUCUUGGGCUGGAGAGCUAAUGGGUGUGCUUGGAGGCCAGAGGAAGUCAGAGGGAUGCCCUUGAGAUGACACCCCACCAGCCACCACUUCCCGGAACCAAGAGAUGAGCCUCCGGGUGCGGAAGAGGUGGCCGCGGAAGGAGCAUGUUGCUUUCUGGCCAUGGAUAGAACCCCAAGGAUGAGAAUGUUCUCUCCAGGGGUCUGCACCCUGACAGCUCUCUCUCUACCCAUGACACUCCUGCACCCCAUCAGCCUUAACCCCUGGUGGCGAGAUGGUGGCUGCAGAGGCAGGACCAGCCCAGGACUGUUGGCCUCCAACCCCACGCUCUUUCCACGAUGCCAGCCUGCCUGCCUUUCUAAGCACUGUAGUUCCUUUCUGAGAGGUUUUGUGUCCACUACCUCUUGUUCCUGCAGCUCACAGCCAUGUGCCAACAGGCUGAGAAAGCCAGGGUUCGUGUGUCACAGUGCCUGUAGUCCUGGAGCUCACGGAGAUGCAAGGUGGCAGGUGGACGUGUCACGACCGUAAGCCCUUGAUUUUUCCCAAGGCUUUGCUGUGUCGGGGGCUAGGUGGCACCCCCUCCGAG